rnacentral:misc_RNA from 1 species
AACGCACAUUGCGCCCCUCGGUAUUCCGGGGGGCAUGCCUGUUCGAGCGUCAUUAAACCACAUCAAGCCACGGCUUGGAGAUUGGGCGAUCGGCCGGAGCCCCCGCGCACCGGCCCGCCUCAAACCCAUCGGCGAGGUCACCGACCCCCGGCGUACUAGCGUAGAGCCCGACAGGGCACCACGACGUCGGGAGCACCGGUAGAGGCCUCCGCCGCGAAAGACACCAAACAAAAAGGUUGACCUCGGAUCAGGUAGGACUACCCGCUGAACUUAA